rfam:Neotoma lepida isolate 417 scaffold_91, whole genome shotgun sequence.
UUGCAGCCAAUUAAGCCAACCAGGUUCUUUUCCUCAUGGGUGCCUGGUGUGCAAGGGCUGCAAACUGGCCACUGUGGUAGUGUAUGCAGCCUAUUGCUUGUACGGGAUUUCCUCAGGGGCCUUGGAGACAACU